rnacentral:rRNA from 1 species
ACACAUAAGAGGUCCAGCCUGCCAGUGACUCUGUUCAACGGCCGCGGUAUCCUAACCGUGCGAAGGUAGCGUAAUCACUUGUUCUUUAAAUGAGGACUAGUAUGAAUGGCAUCACGAAGGUUAUGCUGUCUCCUUUUUCUAAUCAGUGAAACUAAUCUUCCCGUGAAGAAGCGGGAAUAAUAAUAUAAGACGAGAAGACCCUAUGGAGCUUUAAACAGAUAUACAAUUGCCUCCAAUACAAAAAAUUUCAGAAAAUAAAUAUCCACCCAGGCAUUUUGAUAUAAAGUUUUCGGUUGGGGUGACCACGGAGCAAAAAAUAACCUCCGCAAUGAAAGGGAAUUUUACCCUAAACCCAGGGCUACAACCCUAAGUAUCAAUAAUUUGACACUAAUUGACCCAAUACACUUGAUCAAUGAACCAAGUUACCCUAGGGAUAACAGCGCAAUCCAUUUCAAGAGCUCCUAUCGACAAAUGGGUUUACGACCUCGAUGUUGGAUCAGGGUAUCCCAGUGGUGCAGCCGCUACUAACGGUUCGUUUGUUCAACGAUUAA